rnacentral:snRNA from 7 species
GGCUUUGUGCAGUGGCAGUAUUGUGGCCAAUGAGGUUAAUCCAAGGCACAAUUAUUGCUAAUUGUGCUACUCCGCCAUGACGACUUGAAAUAUGCUAGCUCUUGUAACAAAAAAUGUCACUUUCUCAUCUUCCCAAAUA